rfam:Cylindrobasidium torrendii FP15055 ss-10 unplaced genomic scaffold CYLTOscaffold_6, whole genome shotgun sequence.
GGGGUCAUAGCUCAGUUGGGAGAGCAGCAGACUGAAGUUUCGAAUUCUGAAGGUCCCCAGUUCAAUCCUGGGUGACCCCA